GAUGAACGCUAGCGGCAGGCUUAACACAUGCAAGUCGAGGGGCAGCGCGGGAUAGCAAUAUCCUGGCGGCGACCGGCGGACGGGUGCGUAACGCGUGAGCGACAUGCCCGUUGCCCGGGGACAACCGGUGGAAACGCCGACUAAUCCCCGAUGGGAUAUUGUGCCGCAUGGCACGAUAUUGAAAGUUACGGCGGCGACGGAUUGGCUCGCGUCCGAUUAGCUUGUUGGCGGGGUAACGGCCCACCAAGGCUGCGAUCGGUAGGGGUUCUGAGAGGAAGGCCCCCCACAAUGGGACUGAGACACGGCCCAUACUCCGACGGGAGGCAGCAGUGAGGAAUAUUGGUCAAUGGGCGGAAGCCUGAACCAGCCAUGCCGCGUGCGGGAAGGAGGCCCUAUGGGCUGUGAACCGCUUUUGCCUGGGGGCAAUAAGGGCGUCGCGCACGUCCGAUGAGAGUACCAGGCGAAUAAGCAUCGGCUAACUCCGUG
rnacentral:rRNA from 1 species